CACGUAAGCCUCGAGCGUUGUUCGGAAUUAUUGGGCGUAAAGGGUAUGUAGGCGGAGCUGAAAGCCUGUCGUGAAAUGCAGAAGCUUAACUUCUGAGCUGCGAUGGGAACUUCAGUUCUGGAAUCACUGAAGGGCAGCCGGAAUUCCAGGUGUAGGGGUGAAAUCUGUAGAUAUCUGGAAGAACACCGAUGGCGAAGGCAGGCUGCUGGCAGAUGAUUGACGCUGAGGUACGAAAGUGCGGGUAGCGAAC
rnacentral:rRNA from 1 species